rnacentral:rRNA from 1 species
UACGUAGGGUGCAAGCGUUGUCCGGAAUUAUUGGGCGUAAAGAGCUCGUAGGCGGACUGUCACGUCUGCUGUGAAAAGCUGGGGCUUAACCCUGGCCUUGCAGUGGAUACGGGCAGACUAGAGGUAGGUAGGGGAGAAUGGAAUUCCCGGUGUAGCGGUGAAAUGCGCAGAUAUCGGGAGGAACACCGGUGGCGAAGGCGGUUCUCUGGGCCUUACCUGACGCUGAGGAGCGAAAGCGUGGGGAGCGAACAGG